UUACGGUCAUAUCACUUUGAAACACCGGUUCUCGUACGAUCACCGAUGUUAAGCAACGGCGAGCUUGUUUCGUACCUAGAUGGGUGAACGCUUGGGAAUACCAGGUGCUGAAA